GACAGGAUUGAUCGUUCUUUGCAAUGGGAAAUUUAUUAUCGAACCCGCUUCGUGUCUGUAUGCGAAACGGAACAGACGACGAUAUACAGGCUGGGCCGUUAACUAUCAUCACUUUAGAGGUCGCGAUUGCAGGAAAUACGUUCCACCAACUUUAGAUCAUAUUAGAACAGAUAGUUGGAGUUGCUGGAAAUGGUGUUCAAAAUGUUUUAAGUGAAGGAAAAAUCGGUGCAUCUGGUUUUAACGAUUCUAAUUACAUCUUUUAAUUUUUGUUAUCUGGGUCUCGCAUAUAAUUUUCAAUUCGUGUGGAGGUGUUAAGGAGGAACAAAGAUUACACAGGUGUUCUCACAUGUUAUAAUCCGAUCUUUUUUAAUAAGCCCGUAUAAUAUUAAACGCUGGAACACGAAAAUAUCACAAAGUAGUCAAUUAUUAAUAAAAAGAAAAUACCAAAUUGGAAUCUACUUAAUACAACUGUACUACAUAGGAUAUCAAGUACAUCAGGAUAAAAUAACGCGUGGUGUGAGGGCCGCUUUUAUCGAAUACGUUCUUUUCUUUGUGGCGUGAUGCUCUAUAGACGAGUACGAGGACUAAGGAGUGUAGAGCCAUUGAAAGCCAUUUUUAAUCUCUUUGUAUCGCACCAGUAUGGUGCACGUACUGAUGAUGUGCGAAUUGUGACCACUCGUGAAGAAAGUAAUGUGUAUGAUGCUAACAAUAAGGGUCAUAGGACAUCGACAGGUCGGUAUUUCGACAAAAGCAGAUUUUAAAAUAUAUUUACAUGGAAUUCGGAAGGGUAAAUGGAGUUAUAAAUAUAACAUACAAGGAUUAACAAAUGUUAUUAUUUGGAUAUCUUGUAAAAUAGGAUUAAUAAUCAGGCAUGUAGCGAGAGUAUAAAAGAAUUUUAAAGCAGAAUUGACGUU